GGGAGUUUGGCCGAGUGGUCUAAGGCGCUAGCUUCAGGUGCUAGUCUCGAAAGAGGCGUGAGUUCGAACCUCACAGCUCUCA
rfam:Yarrowia lipolytica strain CLIB122 chromosome F complete sequence.